rnacentral:lncRNA from 1 species
UUAUACAAGAAGAGCCGAAUCCCUCCCCCCCCUCUCCUCUCUCCUCUCAAGUCUUAUAUUGUAAGGGUUCAUGUACAAACCAUCAGAGACAUCAAGCUUUUGAUGUUGACUUUCCAAGUAAUUAAAGAAAGGAAUUCUUGAUUAUUUACAAUAAUAAUCAAAAGGUAUGUAAACCCUAAUCCUUGUAAUUUCUAUUAUAGUAAGAUUAUCUUAGGGGGUGUUUGAUAUAGAGAAUUUAGAGCAGAGAAAUGGAAUGUAUUCCACUUCUCUUGUUUGGUUAGUGUUAAAAAAGGAGAGAAAAUGAAAUAAGUUAAUUCGAUUUCCAUCCUAUUAAUUCUCUUUUUUUUUAUAAAGAAAUGGUGAGAAAAAGCAAUCGAGAAAACAAAAUAAAAAGGCGGAGAAAUAAAAGACGUCGUGACUUCGAACCUCCUCCGUGUGCUCCCUAUUUUUGGUCAAUGAUAAUCUUCAUCUACUGAAGAAAUCGAUAUCUCCAUAGCUUCUACUUCUCGAUUUCAAGCUUCAACAAAUAUCCAAUACUGCUUCUCGAUUUCUAGCUUCAACAAAUAUCGACGGCUUCGGUGUCGAUCGCCUUAUCCCCGAUUUCUUUGUGUUUCGAUUUUGCAAACCUAAUUCAAGUCAUAGGUAAUUAUUGGAUUUUUACUUUGAAUGAUAUAUGAUUCUUAAUCAAUUUAUUAUUUUGAUUAUUUGGUCGAUUUAUGUAUAAAUAAAAUAAGAAUUGAACAUCCCAUCUAACCUCUCAAAUUGAAAUUAUAACAAAGUGAUUUGUGAAUGUAUUUUGAUCAGAAUCUGACCGCAAGGAACAUAUGAAUCUGCUAUUUAACUUUUUAGAUUUCCAUGUAUUAGUAUUGUGGAGAAAAUAGGGAUUAUUAUUGGUUUUUGUUUCAUUAUUUUGUAAAUUAUUUGCCAUUACUUUGAAGUCAUAACCUCAUACGGUCUUCGAACAAGUUGAGUUUUUUCCCAGAUUGUUGUCAUUUGUAUUGGCUUCAUUAUAGGAUAAAAAAACAGCUUAGUUGGUUAAGAAUCGAUCAACUUACAUAGCUAUAAACAGGUGGUGCUAGAGUUGUUAGUUUUUGUUCAACAUUUUGUAAAAUUUAGCCCAACUUUGAAAAGUCAUAAAUUCCUCAUACAACCUUACAAUAUCUGACCUUUUUUCCCAUAUUGUAGUCCUCUGUAUUGGCCUUAUUUUAUGCUAAAAAAUAUCUUAAUUGGGUAAGAACUUAUUGACUUACACAACCCUAAACAUGGGCUGUUAGAGUUGUUUUUUUAUCAGCAUUUUGUAAAAUUUUAGCCCGACUUUAAACAACCAUAAAUUUCUCAUACGACCUCGGGACGAGCUGCUCAUAUUUUAGUCCUAUAUCGUGGCUUCGUUUUAGGAUUAAAAAUAUCUUAAUUGGUUAGGAAUUGACGAACUUACGUAGUCCUAAACAUGGUUUGUUAGAGCUAUUCAGUUUUUUGUGUUUUGUUUUUUUAUUUUUUUGGUGCAGAAGUUGAAAUUCUUAACUGAGACAGCGGGACAAAUACAAGUGGAUUCGGUUGGGAUACAGCUAAAUGAUGCGUUACUGCUAAUGUUGAAGUUAAGGCGAUUGAUAUAUUUAGAAAAUAUCAAUUCCACGCCCGAUCAUUUUUUUAAGAUGACGGAGUUGUUACGUGAAAAUAAUUGCGAAUGGCUCAAUAGCAUGAUUAGACUAUUUUAAGUUCUGUUUUUUUAGUUGUUACGAAUACUAAAUUUGACUUAUUGCACAUUCAUUAUUGGGUAUAGUUUUUAAAUAGUAUGAUUUUCAUAUUUCUUUA